rnacentral:rRNA from 1 species
CCCUUAGAUGUCCUGGGCCGCACGCGCGCUACACUGAGUGUCUGAGAUACGAGUCUGCCUGGUCCGGCAAGGUCUAGGUAAUCGCUAAAAGACACAUCAUGCUUGGGAUAGAUUAUUGCAAAUAUUAAUCUUGAACGAGGAAUUCCUAGUAAGCGCAAGUCAACAGCUUGCGUUGAUUACGUCCCUGCCCUUUGUACACACCGCCCGUCGCUACUACUGAUUGGACGUUUAAGCGAGGUUCUCGAACUGCUAGCGACUUAGCUUCGGUGAGGUCGCAGUGUGGGAAGUGAACCUAGCUUUGGUGUCUAGAGGAAGUAAAAGUCGUAACA